AAUCUGAACAAGCUGUGCAUUAUGCAUGAAGCCGGGUUAUUCGCAGGAAGAAUAACAGCGGAGAUAUCCGUGAGACAG
rnacentral:ncRNA from 1 species